rnacentral:rRNA from 1 species
CGGCAACAGCUCAAAUUUGAAAUCUGGCCUUCUGGUCCGAAUUGUAAUUUGUAGAGGAAGCUUCCGAACGUGGUCUGGUCUAAGUUCCUUGGAACAGGACGUCAUAGAGGGUGAGAAUCCCGUAUGCGACUGGGUGCCUAAGUUCAAGUGAAGCUCCUUCGAC